AGGGAAUCUUCCGCAAUGGACGAAAGUCUGACGGAGCAACGCCGCGUGAGUGAUGAAGGUUUUCGGAUCGUAAAGCUCUGUUGCCAGGGAAGAACGUCCUGUAGAGUAACUGCUACAGGAGUGACGGUACCUGAGAAGAAAGCCCCGGCUAACUACGUGCCAGCAGCCGCGGUAAUACGUAGGGGGCAAGCGUUGUCCGGAAUUAUUGGGCGUAAAGCGCGCGCAGGCGGCUGUUUAAGUCUGGUGUUUAAUCCUGGGGCUCAACCCCGGGUCGCACUGGAAACUGGACAGCUUGAGUGCAGAAGAGGAGAGUGGAAUUCCACGUGUAGCGGCGAAAUGCGUAGAGAUGUGGAGGAACACCAGUGGCGAAGGCGACUCUCUGGUCUGUAACUGACGCUGAGGCGCGAAAGCGUGGGGAGCAAAC
rnacentral:rRNA from 1 species